rnacentral:lncRNA from 1 species
CUGCCGUCCUUCUAGCCUUGCAGCCUCCUGAUAAAAGAAGGAUGCCACGCCGUGUAAAUCCAGCCCGGUUGUCAGCAGAUCCGGCCACAUUCCCCGUCUCUGCUCAAUGUUCCAUGACAACAAGCAAACCAUCCAUCUCCUUUUCUGAACAAGGGAGUCUAAGUCAUCUUAUCUUGCCACCAUUUUUCAAAUAAUUCAGGUCAGCAACUAAUUUCCAUUACAGAAAAAUGUGCUGGAUCAUAAGGCUAUAUGUACCUUGUAGGCAUUAGGAUUUUUAACAUGAGGGAGAACUGUCAAGAUCAAGUUCUACAGUAAUGGAGGCUGCAGAUGUAUUAUGCUGAAUUCAUUUUUGUCUGUAUGUAAAACCUGGUUUUGUACAUAAAAACAUAUAUUGCUGUUCAAUAUCAGGUCAGGUCUGUAUGUUCAAUGAUGUGUUUUAUUUCAACACAGUCUGGCUUAAUAUGAAGCUUGCAAAUAUUGCAUCUGGAGGUGUAUUUGCCUCUUGAUGUGCACAUGUAAUUCCAAUUAACAUUAAGAAUGUUAAUGAGAAUAUGCCCCUCUAGGGGCUGGAGAGGGGGAGGUGAGGGAGCAGGUUUGUAGUUCUGAUUUAAAUAACAAGUGACUUUUGUGGAGAAUACCAGCAUGUGGUCUCAUGCACUUAUAUUGUGGAAGUGCAGUGGCUCUGAAUGAGAGUGUACGAUUUAUACAUUGAUGCUCAGUGAUGCUUAGCCAAGUGAACCCGUUGUUGGGGGCAAAUAUUAAAUCCCAACGUGCCUUCUCCAGGAAGGAGUGUUUUUAAAAAUGUUUAGUUCUAUGUAUGUGCACAGGCAUAAAAGACUCUACUGAGAGUGGGUUGUGGUUUUGUGAUUUUCUUUUUUUUAAGACUAGUUUAGUUUGAAGGAGCAAACUGGUUACUUGUUUGUUUCUAAGUAUGCAGAAUGUACAGAAUAGCUUUCAAGGCCUUAAGUGGUAAUGUGGUCCUACGCUUUGAUUAAUUUAUUUGGUGUUCUUUUGGUGUUCCAAUGAGGAAGGACAUUUAAUAUCAGAUUUCAAAACAACAACAACAACAUCCAGCUAAAAAUGGCUAUGAAAUCAUUGUCUUCUCUUUGAUGGUGUGAUGUCACUGGUGAUAUUUUGAGGAAUCCUGUGUAAGCAGUGAAUAAGAAUAACUAUAGCGCUUCCAUUUCUCAAAAAAGAAGGUAACAGAUUGUGAAGUGGUUUUAAAGCAAGAGAGUAUGCAAUAUAUAUCUUAUAAAUGCAAGCAAACUUGSUUAAUACAUUAAAUGAAACUACCAUUUCAUUUUAACGGAUGAAAACAAAGCCAGUUUUACAUGUGGAUUAUAAUAUAUUUUUUUAACCAGAGAAUAAAGCCAUUAUGCAGCAAAGAAGGAUAACA